GGAGACGAUCGACCCUACACGGUGACAUCAGGAGGCUGCAGGGAAAAGGGAGACUUCAUUCAUCUUCCAGCAGAAUAUCUCCUCAACCUGAGCCCCCUGACGACCGAAAAAAAAGAAAGUUUUGCGUACACUUUCGUACACGAGUGGGCGCACCUGCGGUAUGGCGUAUUUGACGAGUACGGUAAAUGGGCAAACCCUGUGUUUCCGGAAACAUACUGCGUGGGAGACAAGGUGAAACUGAGCUCUUGUUCGAGAAACCUGGGUUUCACCGCUCAACGAGAGGACGGUUCAAGGUGCAUUUUGGAUCCCGAGUGUAACUUGGAUAAAAAGUGCAUCAUCUCGCCAUAUAUUCUCGCAAAACACCCUGCAGAAAGCUCUAUCAUGUUCAUGCCGUACAUAAAGAACGUAAGAAUUCCUGUUUUUACUGCCUCU